rnacentral:rRNA from 1 species
UCAGGCCUAACACAUGCAAGUCGAACGGUAACGCGGGGCAACCUGGCGACGAGUGGCGAACGGGUGAGUAAAGCAUCGGAACGUGCCCAAUCGUGGGGGAUAACGUAGAGAAAUUUACGCUAAUACCGCAUGAGAUCUAAGGAUGAAAGCAGGGGAUCGCAAGACCUUGCGCGAUUGGAGCGGCUGAUGUCAGAUUAGGUAGUUGGUGGGGUAAAGGCCUACCAAGCCGACGAUCUGUAGCUGGUUUGAGAGAACGACCAGCCACACUGGGACUGAGACACGGCCCAGACUCCUACGGGAGGCAGCAGUGGGGAAUUUUGGACAAUGGGCGCAAGCCUGAUCCAGCAAUGCCGCGUGCAGGAAGAGGGCCUUCGGGUUGUAAACUGCUUUGGUACGGAACGAAACGGUCCUGGUUAAUACCCGGGGCUAAUGACG